rnacentral:lncRNA from 1 species
UGUUCUGGUGUAUGGAUACAUUCUUGAAUUUUGUUACCUGGAAUUGUUGCAAUCCUCCAAUAAUGUCAUUGUGAGCUAUGCAUGAGUUUGAUCGAUUUAUUUCAUUGUUAUUACUAGGAGAAUUCCCCGCGCGUUGCCGUGGGUAUGAAUGGGGAAUAUAAAUAUGGUCUAAUUGUAGUCUAUUGAGUUAUCUAUAUAUAGUUUUAGUAGUUAGUUUCGGAAGAGAAAGAGAGAAGAUCACGUGAGAGAAUAAUUGCUAGCAAGUAUGCAUGUAUGGUCAUGUGUAGGUAGUUGCAUCCACUACUGAAACCAUUUGUGAGUGGGCACUUAAUUGCAUGCACCAGCAGGAGAAGUGGAUGAUGACGUGGCGCAAGGAGGUGCAAGAGAAUUAGCUUAGUGAGGUUUGUCUUUAUAGGAUAUAUGGUCUAAUUGUAGUCUAUUGAGUCAUCUAUAUAUAGUUUUAGUAGUCAGUUUCGGAAGAGAAAGAGAGAAGAUCACGUGAGAGAAUAAUUGCUAGCAAGUAUGCAUGCAUGGUCAUGUGUAGGUAGUUGCAUCCACUACUGAAACCAUUUGUGAGUGGGCACUUAAUUGCAUGCACCAGCAGGAGAAGUGGAUGAUGACGUGGCGCAAGGAGGUGCAGGAGAAUUAGCUUAGUGGGGU